GGGGUUGUGGCUCAGUGGUAGAGCGCUUGCCUAGCAUGUAUGAGGCACUGGGUUCAAUUCUCAGCACCACA
rnacentral:tRNA from 1 species